rnacentral:rRNA from 2 species
CUUGGUAACCAUAGAGUAUUAGAACCACCUGAUCCCAUUCCGAACUCAGUAGUGAAAUGAUACAUCGCCGAUGGUAGUGUGGGGUAUCCCCAUGUGAGAGUAGGUCAUUGCCAGGC